ensembl:ncRNA asRNA:CR45342 antisense RNA:CR45342
ACGGAUACUUGGAGUUCCUCACUCUUUUACCUCGGCGCACUGGCACAGAAUAUCAAUCACAAGCCCUCAGCGGAACGCAACUCGAAAACAAACAGCUAACAACGUCUUCACGCUUUGCCGGCAGUUGACAGACUCGGCUUAAAUCCAACUCGAAAAUGUUGCUGGUGAAAUACCUUAACGCUUCUCCCGUUGCCAUGUUGCC